UAGGGAAUCUUCCACAAUGGACGAAAGUCUGAUGGAGCAAUGCCGCGUGAGCGAAGAAGGUUUUCGGAUCGUAAAGCUCUGUUGUGAGGGAAGAACAAGUACGGGAGUAACUGCCCGUACCUUGACGGUACCUCAUUAGAAAGCCACGGCUAACUACGUGCCAGCAGCCGCGGUAAUACGUAGGUGGCAAGCGUUGUCCGGAAUUAUUGGGCGUAAAGCGCGCGCAGGCGGCCUUUUAAGUCUGAUGUGAAAGCCCACGGCUCAACCGUGGAAGGUCAUUGGAAACUGGAAGGCUUGAGUACAGAAGAGGAAAGCGGAAUUCCACGUGUAGCGGUGAAAUGCGUAGAGAUGUGGAGGAACACCAGUGGCGAAGGCGGCUUUCUGGUCUGUAACUGACGCUGAGGCGCGAAAGCGUGGGGAGCAAACAGG
rnacentral:rRNA from 1 species